rnacentral:rRNA from 1 species
AUGUGGAUUUUUGGGGCAAUGAUGAUGUUUUUCCACUGGGCUUAUUCUGCGAGGAAUGAUGACAUAUUUGUUUUGUCUAGCAUAAAACCUGAAGCUGCAGAGGACUUAAACCGCCAUGGUGUGACAUAUUAUUGUUUGGCAAUAGUCACUGAGGUUUCUAUGGUUGAUGAAUACCAGAAUGGCUUCAUAGUCAAAGUUGCAAAGAAUAUUGAUCUGGACGAAGACUUAAACAAACUCGAACAUGCAAUAUUUCUCAAUAUCAUAAUAAACGUACGGAUAUGGAAAGCACUUACCUGCAAAACACACAUGAAUGACAAUUUCACACUAAUCAAGUCCCUCUUAGCCCCCACAAAUCUGGGUGAGGAUGCUUGUGGUAUCUGUGUUAAACAGGAUGGAGUCUGUUUGGCUUCUUUCGCAGAGACAUCCGGAAAUUAUUGGGCGAGGAUGCUAUUGAAUCUGUCAUCUCAGCUGUAA